rnacentral:tRNA from 1 species
GCAGUCGUGGCCUACUGGUUAGCGCUUCGGACUUGUAACCGGAGGGUUGCCGGUUCGAACCCCGACCAGUAGGCA